UGUCCAGCAACUCCUAUCCCUACCUCCUCGCGGUACCGGCCGGAAACUAUGAGCAACCUUAGGGAAGAUCAGGUGAACAACCCCGGUGGAAACUUUGGUCGUAGGCUGACAGGGAAGG
rfam:Aedes albopictus isolate Foshan contig64798, whole genome shotgun sequence.